rnacentral:lncRNA from 1 species
UCUAUUUCACAGUUGCAUGUUGGAUAUGCAUUGGGGGAGAGAUAAAUAACUAGUACCCAGACGGCCGGUACCUUCAAGCAGAGGCCCUACAGCGUGGCUGUACCUGCCUUCUCCCAGGGUCUAGAUGACUACGGAGCACGGGCUGUGAGCAGGAACCCCUUUGCCAGCGUCCAGCUGAAGCCGACCGUGACCAAUGACAGCAUGAGUACAACCCUGGACUUUUCUUCUUCGAAAGACGGAGAGGAGAGGCCUUUGAGUAUAAAAUGGAGGAGAGUGAGGAUGAGAAAAGGAAGAACUAGCAUUGUCUAGUGAUAUGAGAUGUACAUGUCACAUACUUCUGAGUUACAGUGGCUUGAACUUCAUUCAGGGGCAUUCACAACCACUAUAAUCAGAAAACUUCUUAAGCAUCAUGGAGAAAACCCUGAACACCAGCAGAUGUAUGUGAAUGGAGAAUAUGACAGAGAAGGGACAAGAAAUCUCAGUGUCAUAAAUGGUCAAUCUACUCUUAACUGAGCCCUCCAACUAUAUCAACACCUGAUUCUAAUGACAACUAAUCUUGUGACAUUAAUGAAAAUGCCUGUGUAUCUGUAAAUGAAUCAGAAGCUUCUGUUUAGUAAGGACUCCAGAACUUUGACAGAGGAAGUGCUAUGGAAAGAAAUGUUCUAGGAACUAGGAAAAUUAUGUAGCAGACACAAUAUUUUGAUUUAGAUUGUGUGUUUACUUAUGGUGGCUGGAGGAAGGGUAGCCUGGUCUUGGAGAUUUUCAGUAUUCUAAUGUCCAUCUCCCUCCCUAGGCCAUACUUUGAGUUCUCCCUGCCUUUGUCCUUAAAAAUAAUAAAGAGACUCAUCUUGGGUGCCUUGAAAUGACA